CACGUAGGGGCCAAGCGUUGUCCGGAUUUAUUGGGCGUAAAGAGCUCGUAGGUGGUUUGUCGCGUUGUCCGUGAAAACUCACAACUCAAUUGUGGGCGUGCGGGCGAUACGGGCAGACUGGAGUACUGCAGGGGAGACUGGAAUUCCUGGUGUAGCGGUGAAAUGCGUUGAUAUCUACAGGAACACCGGUGGCGAAGGCGGGUCUCUGGGCCGAUACUGACGCUGAGGAGCGAAAGCGUGGGGAGCGAACAGG
rnacentral:rRNA from 1 species